UACAGAGGUCUCAACCGUUGUUCGGAUUCAUUGGGCGUAAAGGGUGCGUAGGCGGUCGCGCAAGUCGGAUGUGAAAUCUCAGGGCUCAACCCUGAAACUGCAUUCGAUACUGCGUGGCUAGAGUGCUGGAGAGGAGACUGGAAUUUACGGUGUAGCGGUGAAAUGCGUAGAUAUCGGGAGGAACACCUGUGGCGAAAGCGGCGCACUGGACCAUAACUGACGCUGAUGCGCGAAAGCUAGGGGAGCAAACAGG
rnacentral:rRNA from 1 species